AUUGAACGCUGGCGGCAGGCCUAACACAUGCAAGUCGAGCGAGCGGCGGACGGGUGAGUCAUGUCUGGGAAACUGCCUGAUGGAGGGGGAUAACUACUGGAAACGGUAGCUAAUACCGCAUACCAUCAGAUGUGCCCAGAUGGGAUUAGCUAGUAGCUGGGGUAACGGCUCACCUAGGCGACGAUCACUACCUGGUCUGAGAGGGUGACCAGCCACACUGGAACUGAGACACGGUCCAGACUCCUACGGGAGGCAGCAGUAGGGAAUAUUGCGCAAUGGGCGAAAGCCUGAUGCAGCCACGCCGCGUGUGUGAAGAAGGCCUUCGGGUUGUAAAACACUGUCAGCGAGGAGGCGUUACUCGAAGAGGAAGCACCGGCUAACUCCGUGCCAGCAGCCGCGGUAAUAC
rnacentral:rRNA from 1 species